rnacentral:misc_RNA from 1 species
CGUCACUAUUCAAGGGAGGCUACUCUGUUGCCUAGCGCACAGUCAACAUUAAGGCGAUGUGUGGGUAGAUCUCUCCUGAGCUGCUAUUCAGGAUGGAUUCAGACUCUGUGUUCCCCAAAUGUGUGGUGUGCAGCACCUCCUUCAGGUACAGAGGACCACAGCCGCACCUGCUUCCCUGUCUACAUCCUGUAUGUGAGGACUGUCUCAAGUCACCGGAAGUCACAACUCUGGACUGCUCUGUCUGCUUGAAGAGUCAUGAUAAAGAUGUCGGGAGUUUCCCAGUAGACGAUGUUGUUCUUGGUGACGUUCUCAACCAGACAAUGAAGCACCGACCGUCAAACUUCAAAUGUACCAACAAGAUGGAUGGGAACCAGGCAAUGUCUUGGUGUCAGGAAUGUGAGGACUAUUUCUGCGAGCACUGCCAUAUAUCUCACUCAGAGGUGAAAGCAACUAGGAAUCACACAAUGAAGUGGAUUUCUGAUCUUCCAUGUACAUCGAAAAUGUCCCAGUCCGUCUGUGAGAAACACGGACAACGUUUGGACGUCUACGAUAAAGACUGUGACUGUUUCAUCUGUUUCAAAUGCCACUAUGAAGAUCACGUCAGUCACGGUACCGACACAGCCAAUAUGUUCUUGAGUCGUGAACAAGACGUCUUCAAAGUUUACAUUAUAUCUGCUUCAGAGAAGAAGGAAAAGAUAAUUUCAGCAAAAGAAACGGUUCUUGCACAAGCAAGACAUAUUGACGAGAAGGCCGUUUCUCUCCGAGACACCGUUCAACACACUUUUUCUGAGCUGAGAGAUGUGAUAGAUCAGCGAGAGAAGGAGGUGCUUGUGGAGCUAGAUAAGAUUUUAGACUCCAUGAGGAAGAUCAACGACAGUCGACUCCCUGUCCUGAAGUCAUCAGAGACAAGCUGCCAGACAGUCCUUGACUACAUCAACGGGACUCUCCUCUCCGCCUCACCUUCCCAACUCCAUAAAGUGAAGAGUUCCAUCACACAGGCCUUUGAGUCUUGUAUAAAGGCUGACGUUCCUGCUGUUCACAAAUACGAACCGUGUGUCGUCUUCUCAAAGCAAGGUUUACCGGAUUUGAAAUCCUUAGUAUCAUCCUUUGGUGGUUUCAUGACUUCAGUUACCCAGACGGAAUCACCUCCGGAAGCAUCACUUAAAACAGGCCUUCAGAUGAAACUGGAAGCAGAUAUUGAUGAACUUCAGACACAGAACAGAGAGGCUCAGAGGCUAAUCAGUGCACUGGAAAAGGAAGCCUCUCAAAAUGAACAGAAGGUGAAGACUUUGCAGGAGGAUGUAUCCAGACUUCAGGGGAUCGUAAUUCAGUUGCAUCCCAUGGGCAACGACAAAGACACUUGGCUACAUGUGCUUGGUACAGUGAACAGAGCCCCACAUGUUGUUCUAUGUCCAAAGAUGAUGUUUGAUUCCGACAGAGUAAACCUGAACAGAAGACACAUUAAUGACAAAGGCCUUCUCGUCAACACCAAACAUCUUCAAUGGAGAAGAGUGGGCACUAGUGGGAAGAUGUUCAAGAACUACUGCGGCACCUGCAGCAUCUCCCCACUGCCCUCUAGCGGCCUGGUGUACUGGGAGGUGGAGGCGGAUGUGGAACUGGACAAGCCUCUGGGUGAUCGGGAGCUUGUGUUGGAGGUCGGGGUGUGUGGAGAGGAUGUCAUGGACAGUAGUCAUUAUAUCGGCGGUCAGCCUAAUUCAUGCAGUCUGUACAUAUCAAAUGGUGAGAAUGAUGUGAUAAGGUAUAUAGCUAUUAAUGGAAAGGAUGCAGCAACAGCUAAAGUGUUUGAGAAUAAGGCAGGAACAUCUGUGACAUUAAAGUACGGAGUUCUUGUUGAUACUGACAAGAUGGCGGUAUCCUUCCUGGACACCAACAACAGAGAAGGUGUUGGGAUCUGGAUGUAUUGUUGACAACAAGCCACAACAUGGUGCUGGAUACAAGAAGAAGAUGUGGCCUGUAUUUGCAGUUUAUAGUAACCCAAAGAGAGUUGAAAUGAAACUCGUGAGUGGACCGGAUCUACAGAUGGAAGACUGGAAGAAGAAGCUUCUCGAAGACGCCAGCCAUAUGUGUGCUGAAGGGGAUUGAUACCGUGGCUACAAUCACUACUUCCGUGCUCAACGUUAACACUGGUAGACAUCACAAUCACAGGAAGUGCACCUGUUUUUGGACAUUUGCCUAAAUGUUAAAUAUGUGCAGAGAUUAUACAUGACUGACUCAUGACGUUUUGUGCAUAAUUGGCAAAGAAAUCUUAUCUGCUGUUUUCGUGGAAAAAAGAACUUGCUACAGGGGAUUUGUUUGAAAGUAUAUUUAAUAAGCAAUUGGAGAGUUGCUGUGGGUUUGUUUCAGGAUAUUAUUGUUUCUUUGUGAUUGGGUCUGUUAAUGAGGAUUGAAAUGUGAAUCUGUGCUGACUAUAAAUCUAUCUGACAUGUGAAUGCAUGAUCCUCAGCCCUCAAAAAGAAUUAAACAAAAUGAUAGAAAGAUAAAUAAUACGUUGGCUCGCAUAUGAUAAGUGUUAAUCGCAUUUGUAUAAUCAAACCAAGAUCCAGGUUGUAAUUGAUUCAAGAUAGUAACGGUUGCUAUCUCCCAUGAAACCCCUUUGUCCCUUGAUCCGUUUGACCAUUGAACACUUCUUGUAUCAUUUUGGCGUCGAUGGGGUAAUGAAACAAAUAUGAACAUGAAACAGACACCAGUAUAACACAAGCAAGUACUUGGUUUGGCUUAUACGCUUUAAGCACCAACAGUAUGUGUAUCAAGCACAUGGCUGCUCUGUGUCUGUGUCCUUGUCUGGUAGGGUUGUAUCAGACGCCGAUCGGAUUUCUUUUGUAAUAGAUUCAUGUUUGGCACAUGGCUGAAUGUCUCCACUCCCGAAAAGCAGAAAAAUCAGGGCAGCCAGAGAAAACGACCCAAAUCCGGUGAAAAACGCAUACUGCCAUUCUUGUCGCGUUCCCUGCAGAAGAAAAAUACAUUCGUGAGACAAGUCUGUGUCGAUGAGCCCAGGUUUUGUGUGACAGAUGCAGAACGUCGCUGGUUUAUUUGUUGAUUUACUCUCUGAUAAUACAAAUGUAUAAGAGAGAAAAGGGGACGAGAGAAGGUCUGGGCGAGUCGAAUAGACCUGGAGCAUUUUUCUAUUCGUACUUUUGUGUAAACAACCCCUUUUGCAGCGACAUUUACAAAUAAGUUGUUUAACAAACUAUCAUUAAACUUUUUACACAGUUCACUAUUUGUUACGAGGGAGGAGUGCAAAGAAAGAAACAGCUUGGUGUACGUGAAGCAAAAUUUUAAUGAUAGUUUGUUAAACAACAUCUUUAUUUUUCGGACAUGAAUUCUGCCAAAAAAUCACAGAGUUGGUCUGAUGUUUUGAUUAUGAUCAGUGUUUCACUGAGUAUUACAUGUGUAUUAGUUUUCGAGUUAGAUUGCAAUUCAUCGGUCCGCUUUUGAGCCAAACGGACGAUAACAUAAUCCAACAGAAUUCACUUGAUUUCUGAUUUGUGUAACCUAACCGUAACAACUGAUAAAAUCGAAGAUCCAUAUUUUCUGUGGUACUAAAAUUGAGAAAAGGAGGAAAUCUAUUUUGAGUAAUGUUUUUAUUUUAUUUUGUGUAUUGAUAUUGAUUGUGUACAGAUCUGUUAAAUGUACGUUAACCCAAUCUGUGUAUAUAAUUUCACCCCGUCGCUUUAACACAACAGUAAAAACAAUACUAGUUUAUUGAUGUGAUUCAUGUUAAAUUGAUUGAAAAAUUAAUAUACAGUUUCUUUGAGACAUAUUGUCAUUAAAGAUGAUACACCUUUACAUGUUUUAUGGUACACUUGCAGAUUACCAUUUCAUAUGUUGAUACAAUCGCGUUACGUUUAGAGAGAAAUUGUCAGUAAAAAGAAGAAACCAU